CUAGAGACCCGACUCGUACCCCCCUUGCCUAAAACACCCGAAAAUUUUAUUUGAGGUGAAUAGAAGAGAACUCUCUUAUUUUACUCUUUUUUUCUUAUCCAUGAAUACGUGUGAGUGGUGGAUUCAAAAUAAAAAUGGCGGUUGUAGCUCAAAAAAAAAAAAUAAGUUUAAUCAAAAGUGACAGCUGACAGUUCUCGAUUUUUGGUUUUUAUUUUGUUUGCAAAUUAAAAUUUUUCGAGUUUUAAAAUUCCAUGAACAUAUUUUCCUUUCGGUUCUUAUUUUGUUUAAAAUAAAUAAAUGUAUCUCGACAACCUUUAGAGGAGAAAUUCCUGGACAAAGCUUAUGCUUCUGCUUUCUCCAUACCCAGUAAUUCAAAUCGAACUGGAAAGGCAUUUAAUCCAUUAAUUGGUCAAAGUUACAAAUAUGAUGGUAUGGAUGACCUAGGCUGGCGUGUUACAGCAGAACAAGUCUCCCAUCCCCCACCGAUAUGGCAUCAAUUCUCUGCGAAGAAAAAAAUGGAACUGCUCAACUGCUGGCAAGAGUUUGGACACUACUAGCAAUAAGACCAACUCUUGAACUGGUGCUUCAUAUGCGUAGCCCUUGGCAAGCUCAUUUACUGUAAAGUCUGUCCAUUCUUAACCAACUGUUGGAACAAGGGGACAGGCGAGAAAUAGAAUUAUUUAAAAAAAAAAUUAUUUUUAGCCUGGGAGCUAUGAGGGACUAGCUAAAUCGACCUAUCGGGUUAUUUAUUUAUGAUGGAAGUAGUUAUCAACUUACAUCCAGAGUACAUCCAUCUCCACCAGCAGCGAUAACUUUGUUUUAGAGCAACAACGACUUGUCGCCGUUGCGUCGUCUUCGAAGAAAAAUAAAUUUUCAAGAAUCUACAAAGCAAACAAGAAUUUCAAUCAGUGUGUUAUGCCUGUGUGCGUGAGAAUUAAAUAAGAAUGAAUCAACAACACAUAUUGUCUUUGCCCUAAUCCUUGAUUUGGGUAUAUGUAUCCUCGACCGUCGGUAUGUUUGAAGCGAGAAAUUGGGACUUCAUUUUUCUCGCCUUUUUUUUGCAUGCGCAUCGUGCAACUCUGUCCGAUUGGAUAGUCAAUACCAAUGUCACCGACGGGAAAUUUUAUAGAAACCCAAUGAUCGAGAAACCGAUUAUGUUCAUCACAAGAUGUUUGUAUAUUGUUCAUUAUGAGCUGGGACACAUUUAGUACUAUUUGUACUAUCAGCAUGAUGAAACUGAUUUUACUUAAACUAUUCGCAGACAUCCAAAACAAUUAAGGGUUUUAACAGCGAAAUAUUCAAUAAAACAAAUGUAGUACCUAUGAAACCAUACACCAACUGGGGAAAAAAGAUAUUUAUGAUACAAAAUGAAGUGCAUAACUUUUCAUAUUGAUAUAGUUAAAUUCAUUAAAGCAUCCGGACCUAUAUGAAGCUUACUGGCAAACCAAAACUUAAAGCCACAGCUAAUAAUCAAGUUAUACCUCAGUACAACUAAAAUUAACAAGGACAUUAAUCCAGAACCAGAAAAUAUUUUUGACAAUGGUAUUGUCUUGAACUAUACGGUUGAAUAAAAUUGUUAUUGUUCAUUAAUGAGAAAUGGACUUUUGUUGUAACAUGGAUUUGUUGCUGUUGACGUGCAAGGUAAUGCUCGCUAAUCGUUGGUGCAUGCAUAAAAAUACAACUGUAAUAAUUUGUACCACUGAACUCUACAUAUGUGCCCAUAAUUAUAAAAGUGGACUAAGUCACUUUUUGCAUUGUUUAAAGAAAAACUUACAUAAUAAUUUUCUUAUAACGAUUGAAUUGUAUUUCUUUUAUGAAAUCACUGAAGGAGCAAUUAAGAAGUUCAUUUAAUGUAAUUUUGCUUAUUUUUGUUUAUUUCAUAAAAAUGUAUCUUUAUUUUUUGUUUUCUAUA